rnacentral:misc_RNA from 1 species
CUAUAUAACGUGCGGCCCACGCCACCUCAGUACCAGUCUGCUCCCACCUACCGCUCCAGCAUCCUGCUUCAGCUGCGCCUCAGUUUCGACCCCGUCCAUCAGUUCCAAAGAACUUGACAUACAGGAUGUUUCUGAGAGUGAGCGCGUGGGCGGCAGUAGUGGGUGUGUGGACGACCGUCGCUCUUGCUGCUGUUGUGUUGCCGGAAUAUGAAAGUGACGCGGUGAGUGAGAGGCAGGAAGGGCUGGACCAGCUGGCAUCGUCUCUGUGUGAGCUGAUGCCUGACCUGCCGGGCUGCCAAGCUCUCAACGACACCCUCUCCUUUGGCGAAGGAAGUGGUGAUGU